AGCAGCCGCAGUAAUUCCAGCUCCAAUAGCGUAUAUUAAAGUUGUUGCAGUUAAAAAGCUCGUAGUUGAACUUCGGGGUUCACCCAUUGGUCAGGCUUAACUGUCUGCACUGGUGAGAUGAAUCUCUACCUUCUGAGGAACUUUCAUGCCAUUUAUUUGGUGUGAUGGGAAAUCAGGACUGUUACUUUGAAAAAAUUAGAGUGUUUAAAGCAGGCUAUUGUCUGAAUACAUUAGCAUGGAAUAAUGAAAUAGGACGGAUUGGUUCUAUUUUGUUGGUUUCUAGGAUCACCGUAAUGAUUAAUAGGGAUAGUUGGGGGCAUUAGUAUUCAAUUGUCAGAGGUGAAAUUCUUGGAUUUAUUGAAGACUAACUACUGCGAAAGCAUUUGCCAAGGAUGUUUUCAUUAAUCAAGAACGAAAGUUAGGGGAUCGAAGACGAUCAGAUACCGUCGUAGUCUUAACCAUAAACUAUGCCGACUAGGGAUCGGACGAAGUUAAUUUUAUAAUGACGCGUUCC
rnacentral:rRNA from 1 species